rnacentral:rRNA from 1 species
GACGAACGCUGGCGGCGUGCUUAACACAUGCAAGUCGAACGGAAAGACCCUGCUUUUGUGGGGUGCUCGAGUGGCGAACGGGGGAGUAACACGUGAGUAACCUGCCCUUGUCUUUGGGAUAACUUCAGGAAACUGGGGCUAAUACCGGAUAGGAGCUCCUGCUGCAUGGUGGGGGUUGGAAAGUUUCGGCGGUUGGGGAUGGAAUCGCGGCUUAUCAGCUUGUUGGUGGGGUAGUGGCUUACCAAGGCUUUGACGGGUAGCCGGCCUGAGAGGGUGACCGGCCACAUUGGGACUGAGAUACGGCCCAGACUCCUACGGGAGGCAGCAGUGGGGAAUAUUGCACAAUGGGCGGAAGCCUGAUGCAGCAACGCCGCGUGCGGGAUGACGGCCUUCGGGUUGUAAACCGCUUUCGCCUGUGACGAAGCGUGAGUGACGGUAAUGGGUAAAGAAGCACCGGCUAACUACGUG